rnacentral:lncRNA from 1 species
CUUGCGAAGGUUAAAACAGCACUAACUUGACGAACUAUCGUUGUGGUUUUAAUGCGUAGGUAAGAAUGGUUCUUGCUAAGCCCGUAGCAGCCACGUAAAAUUUGCAACAACAAAGUAGAGGAUGUCUAACUUGUUUUUGCAGGGCAUGUUGUGAUGUGAUAUGGUCAAGACGUGAUGCUAUAUUUUAUUGUAUGAGAUGAUCAUGCUUUAUAACCGAAGUUAUCGGCAACUGGCAGGAGCCAUAUGGUUGUCGCUUUAUUGUAUGAAAUGCAAACGCCCUGUAAUUGCUUUACUUUAUCACUAAGAGGUAGCGAUAGUCGUAGAAGCAAUAGAUGGCGUAAUGACAAUGAUGCUACGAUGGCGAUCAAGGUGUCGCGCCAGUGAUGAUGGUGAUCACGACGGUGCUUCGGAGAUGAAGAUCACAAGCACAAGAUGAUGAUGGCCAUAUCAUAUCACUUAUAUUGAUUGCAUGUGAUGUUUAUCCUUUAUUCAUCUUAUCUUGCUUUGAUUGAUGGUAGCAUUUUAAGAUGAUCUCUCACUAAAUUAUCAAGAAGUGUUCUCCCUGAGUAUGCACCAUUGCGAAAGUUCUUCGUGCGGAGACACCACGUGAUGAUUGGGUGUGAUAGGCUCUACGUUCAAAUACAACGGGUGCAAAACAGUUGCACACGCGGAAUACUCAGGUUAAACUUGACGAGCCUAGCAUAUAACAGAUAUGGCCUCGGAACACGGAGACCGAAAGGUCGAGUGUGAAUCAUAUAGUAGAUAUGAUCAACAUAUUGAUGUUCACCGUUGAAACUACUCCAUCUCACGUGACGAUCGGACAUGGUGUAGUUGAUAUGGAUCACAUGAUCACUUAGAGGAUUAGAGGGAUGUCUAUCUAAGUGGGAGUUCUUAAGUAAUAUGAUUAAUUGAUCUUAAAUUUAUCAUGAACUUAGUCCUGGUAGUAUUUUGCAAAUUAUGUUGUAGAUCAAUAGCUCGCGUUGUUGCUUUCAUAUGUUUAUUUUGAUAUAUUCCUAGAGAAAAUUGUGUUGAAAGAUGUUAGUAGCAGUGAUGCGGAUUGGAUCCGUGAUCUGAGGUUUAUCCUCAUUGCUGCACAGAAGAAUUAUGUCCUUAAUGCACCACUAGGUGACAGACCUAUUGCAGGAGCAGAUGCAGACGUUAUGAACGUGUGGCUAGCUCAAUAUGAUGACUACUUGAUAGUUUAGUGCACCAUGCUUAACGGCUUAGAAUCGGGACUUCAAAGACGUUUUGAACGUCAUGGACCAUAUGAGAUGUUCCAGGAAUUGAAGUUAAUAUUUCAAGCAAAUACCCGAGUUGAGAGAUAUGAAGUCUCCAACAAAGUUCUAUAGCUAAAAGAUGGAUGAGAAUCGCUCAACUAGUGAGGAUGUGCUCAGAUUGUCUGGGUACUUCAAUCGCUUGAAUCAAGUGGGAGUUAAUCUUCCAGAUAAGAUAGUGAUUGACAGAAAUCUCUAGUCACCAUCACCAAGUUAGUAGAACUUCGUGAUGAACUAUAAUAUGCAAGGGAUGACGAAAGUGAUUCCCAAGCUCUUCGUGAUGUUGAAAUCGACGAAGGUAGAAAUCAAGAAAGAGCAUCAAGUGUUGAUGAUUGACAAGACCACUAGUUUCAAGAAAAGGGCAAAGGGAAAGAAAGGGAAACUUCAAGUAGAAUGGCAAACAAGUUGUCACUCCCGUGAAGAAGCCCAAAGCUGGACCUAAGCCAGAAACGGAGUGCUUCUACUGCAAAGGAAAUGGUCACUGGAAGUGGAACUACUCCAAAUAUUUGGUAGAUAAGAAGGAUGGUAGAUAAGAAGGAAGGGUAUAUUUUGAUGUACAAGUUAUUGAUGUGUACCUUACUAGUGUUUAUAGUAGCCCCUGAGUAUUUGAUACUUGUUCGGUUGCUAAAAAUUUAGUAACUCGAAACAGGAGUUACAGAAUAAACAGAGACUAGUUGAAGGGGAAGUGACGAUGAGUGUUGGAAGUAGUUCCAAGAUUGAUAUGAUCAUCACACACUCCCUAUACUUUCGGGAUUAGUGUUAAACCUAAAUAAAUGUUAUUUAGCUUUUGCGUUGAGCAUGAAUAUGAUUUGAUCAUGUUUAUUGCAAUACGGUUAUUCAUUUAAAGUCAGAGAAUAAUUGUUGUUCUGUUUACAUGAAUAAAACCUUCAAUGGUCAUACACCCUGUUGGGGAUAUUACCACCGGGCGUGAACCGGCCUACCUGGGCCGGGUUAACUUCAGUAGUAGUAUAAGCAGAUGAAGGCCCAAGGCCUGUAGUCGGUUUAGAACCUGUAGCCGUAAACCGGCUUGAUAUGUAAACUUGUAUUGUAAGUUAGGAAUAGAGAGAUACCAACCGGUAUACGAGUAUGAACCGGUUGGGACUCUAUGGACCGACGGGCGUCACCCGUGUAUAUAAGGGGACGACCCGGCGGCGGUUCAAGACAGACAACAACAACUCGAGCCUAGGAGAAGCUUGUUUGCUCCCUAGCCAUCGAAACCACAUCAAUUCCAUCACAACUAGACGUAGGCUUUUACCUUCAUCGAAGGGGCCGAACUAGUAUAAACCCUCGUGUCUUUGUGUCCGCUUUAACCCCUUCAAGUUAACACGUAGCGAUGGCUCCAUGACUAAGUCCUUUCACUAGGACAUCUGCCGUGACAAAUCCACGGCAGUUGGCACCCACCGUGGGGCUAUCGCACGACGGUUUGAUGAUCUUGGAGGGCAAGCUCAAAGGACUCGAAGGCUAUGCUGUGGGCCGGAUGACCAAGAGUCGUCGCGGCAAGCUCUACAUCGACGAUUCAGGAUGGGGUCCCGAAGCCAGCUCGAUCGAGUACGGAUACCGGGUCCCCUUUGGUGGCAUACACGUUUUCAUCGGCAAGAUUGGUGAGCCUGGGCCUGAGCCAGACAUCUGCACCGACCUCGUCGAGAUGACUCAGCGUGCGAGAUCUACCCAGGUUAAACCGGCCGUGAAGCGUGCCUUCGUUGGAGUCAUCCACGGAGGAGAGCAUGAGGACGAGUCAGAAUACGAUAGUGAGACCGUCGUCUAUUCCGGCGACGAGUCCUCGACCGGAGAGACUGAAUCACUAUACCAGUUGCAAGACAACCAGAUUAGGGGCUGUUCCGAUGGCGACAGUAUUCCGGACCCCCCAGAUCAGAUCAACCGGGUUGGAAUAUUCAUGGCCGGCACACAGGCGGCGAAUCACUCUUCGACCGCAGCAGCAAUGCUCUCCGGAUCAGCGGCGGCAGCGGCAGCAGGGGCGGGAGGCCUUUUGCGCCCACCGGUUCAAGUUCUGUCUGACCUAUUUGACGCGCUAGCGGUACUUAUGGCCGAGGCCAAUCCGGCGGAUCAGGAGGCCCAUGAUGCGGAGGUUGCAAAGGUGAGAGAGCAGAUCGUGCAGGCCAAAGCCGACCUGGUGGCAGAGAGAGACCGGAUGGCUGCAGAGCGGGCCGCUUUAGACGCCCAGGCCUAUAAGCUCAUGCUCGACCAGAGCGCAUCACAGGAGGUCUUGAAGCGGAAGCAUAGGUCACGCCUACCGUUAGGGUUUGACCCUCGAAAUCUCUUUUAUACUCCAGGAGCGGCAACUAGUAAUCCGCCAGGGCACCAGGAGGUAAACCGGGUCGAGGCACCAGGGCCAGGAGCGACGGUCCAACCCCGCCUGAUGGAACCUCCUCAGCAGAACAUUGUGAUUCCUCCACCGGUCCAGACACCUCCGGGUCAUUAUUCAAAUCCUAUAGACAAUCUUGUCGCAGCUGCUGCGCGAUUAGAAGCUAUCCCAGUCGAAGGAGACUCUCCACAGGCAAUAGAGACGCGCCGGGUUAAGGAACUUCUCCGGACCGCUUUGAUUCAACAGGAAGCGUAUUCAUACAGCCGUGACCGGAUUCAUUCCACACCUCGUCCAAGCCGGAGCUACAGUAGGCGCAUGGAUGAACCAGCCAUAUCAAGCAACGCGCAGAACCGUGAAGCGGCCCGGGGCAAUAGCCCGGCAGGUGGUGUUCGCGAUGCUCAGGAUGUAGUGGACCGGGCCCGGGCACGAAGGGAGGCCGAGUUAGCAGCACAGAACGAGGCGGAUCAGCUUACACCGGUUCGUCCCACCACCUCUGCCGGGCCAGGAGUUGCAUCUAGCUUGGGAGUGCCCUGUUUAGUCCCCGCUUUACGCAAUGUGCGCCUGCGCAAAGACUUCAAGGGUCUGCGCAAGGUGCCAAAUUACACCGCUGAUUUAUCUCCAGAAGCAUGGGUAGAGAGUUAUGAGAUGGCCAUGGAGAUGCUGGAUGUGGAGGAAACCGCGUGAGCAAAGUACUUCACCAUGAUGCUUGAAGGCACGGCCCGUACUUGGUUGAAAAGCCUGCCGCCUAAUUCUAUCAGUUCAUGGGCCCAGCUGCGGGCCCGGUUUAUCCAGAAUUUCAAAGAUACAUGUAAGCAGCCUAAGUCCAUAGUUGAUUUGGCAGCUUGUGUUCAGGAGGACGGAGAGUCAACAACCCAUUGCAUACGCCGCGUUUCGGAAGUCUUGCACUCGUCUGAUAGGAUCAAUGCUGACUCGGCGAUCAUAACCCUGCAGGGCAACGACCGGUUUAAGCCUUUAAAGUUGAAGUUGGGGCGUAUGAAGCGGUUCUGUAAUGACAUGGGAACUCUCAUGUCCGCUUUAGUGAAGUAUGCUGAUUCUGAUAGUACCAAGGAUCCCGAGACUGACGAUGACGAAGCAGGGAAGGGAAAGAAGAAUAGCAAUUCCAAGGGACAUCAAUAUAAACUGGCGGGCCAUGGAAACGGAGGCAAGCAUAAAGCGGAUGGCAGCAUGGACUUUGUGGCUAACACUAAUGCGCAGGACAAGGGUCAGCGGCGCAGAGGUAAAGUGGCGAAUCAUAAUGGGGCUCCAAAUCCUAACCCGGAUUGCUUAAACUAUUUGUUGAAUCAGCCCUGCCCAAAACACGGGACGAAGGAGGCGCCGGCUAACCACCUUUGGAAGGAUUGUUACAUUAUGCAGGAAUUUAAAAACUCUAACGCUUUUCGGUAUGACCGUGGGUCAGGUGGUGGCUCAGGAUCCGGUUUCCAUGGGCCGGGUCACGAUGGAGCUUCCAGUUCAGGUUUCAAUCAGGGCGGUAAUAGUAACCAGAGCAAUCAGAGCGGUCCAGGGGGUUACAACCAACAGCAGCAGCAGCAACAGUCGGGUUAUCAGAGCCAGCCAAAACAGUUGAACAAUGGGCAGUAUCACGUUUUCACAACUAGCUUGGAUAAGCGCGACCGGAAGCUUCACAAGCGUGCGGUGAACUCUGUUGAACCGGCUGUACCACGUUACUUACGCUGGUCGGAGCAGCCUAUCGUGUGGAGCAGGGAGGAUCACCCCUCCCCCCCCCGGGUUGAUAACCCGGGCCAGUUGGCAUUAGUGGUAGACCCUCAGGUGGGAGGUUACAAAUUCACCAAGGUGCUCAUGGAUGGAGGGAGCAGUAUUAACAUCCUGUACUAUGAGACAUUCCGCCGCAUGGGGCUAACAGACAAGGAUCUCAGACCGUCUAAUACGGUGUUCCAUGGUGUGGUGCCUGGCAAAUCGGCAUACCCUGUUGGUAAGAUAGCCCUGGAGGUGGCUUUCAGGGACGAGCAUGACUCCCGAUCUGAAACACUAACCUUUGAGGUGGUAAAAAUCCGGAGCCCAUAUCACGCCUUGUUUGGCGACCAGCUUAUGCCAAAUUCAUGGCACGGCCUUGUUAUAUCUAUUUGCAACUCAAGAUGCCGGGUUACAAAGGGACAAUAACGGUUCAUGGGAGCCGCAAGAUUGCUUUGGAAUGUGAGGAAGGUGAUGCGGCCUAUGCAGAGUCGGUUUGCGCCACGGAGGAGUUGAAAUAUUAUAAGGACAAUGUUGAUCCGGCGGACAUGACCCCUUUGAAGAAGCCCACUACAGAGCAUGAUUCAGAUCUGAAGUUCAAAUCGGCAGCUGAGACCAAGUUUGUUGACUUCGUGCCCGGCAAUUCGUCCAAGCAGUUCACUGUCAGUGCCAACUUGGACCCUAAAUAGGAAAGCACGCUCAUCGAGUUCAUCCGUGAGAAUCGGGACAUUUUUGCAUGGAAGCCUUCUGACAUGCCAGGUGUACCGAGGAAACUCGCUGAGCACACUGUUAAUGUUGAUCCCAAGUAUAAACCGGUAAAACAGUUUCUCCGCCGGUUUAACGAAGAAAGGCGCAAAGCCAUUGGAGAGGAAGUGGCCAGACUCUUAGCGGCUGGCUUUAUCAUUGAAGUGUUCCAUCCAGAGUGGCUUGCUAAUCCGGUGCUGGUUCUUAAGAAAAACGGCACUUGGCGUAUGUGUGUGGAUUACACGGAUCUUAACAAGGCUUGUCCAGCGGAUCCUUUUGCCAUCCCCCGCAUUGACCAGAUUAUUGAUUCCACGGCGGGUUGUGAGCGUUUGAGUUUUUUGGAUGCAUACUCUGGGUAUCAUCAGAUCAAAAUGGCGGUUAAGGACCAGGAGAAGACGACGUUUAUUACUCCCUUUGGAGCCUUCUGCUAUGUAUCUAUGCCUUUUGGGCUCAAGAGCGCCCAAGCCACUUAUCAACGGUGUGUACAGAAUUGCCUGCAUAAACAGAUCGACCGUAAUGUGCACGCCUAUGUGGACGAUAUUGUAGUCAAGUCAAAGCAGAAGGAGACGCUGGUUGAUGAUUUGAAGGGAACCUUUGACAACUUGAGGGCUUACAAGAUGAUGCUUAACCCGGCCAAAUGUGUCUUUGGUGUUCCGGCAGGCAAGUUAUUGGGCUUUCUUGUGUCCAAUAGAGGAAUUGAGGCCAAUCCGGAGAAAAUUAGGGCUAUCACCUCCCUGGCUAAACCGAAGUGUAUCAACGAUGUUCAGCGUUUGGCGGGUCGGAUCGCCGCACUAAGCUGGUUUAUCAGCCGCCUCGGAAAGAAGGCCAUCCCUUUAUACCAGAUGCUGAGAAAGAUAGAUCAAUUCAUCUGGAGCCCGGCUGCUGAUGAAGCGUUGGAGGACUUAAAGCGGCAAUUAGCCAAUCCGCCCGUUCUUGCAGCUCCGAUCGACAAGGAGCCGUUGUUGUUAUACGUAGCGGCCAAUGCUCGUGCAAUUAGCGUGGCUAUUGUGGUGGAACGCAAGGAGGCAGGCAAGGAGUAUCCAGUUCAGCGGCCGGUUUAUUAUAUCAGCGAGGUGCUCAUUGAAUCCAAGCAAAGAUAUCCGCAUUGGCAGAAGCUGGUAUAUGGGGUUUUCAUGGCAAGCCGAAAGUUGAAGCAGUAUUUCCAAGGGCACCCCAUCACAGUGGUCAGUUCAGCUCCCUUGGGUGAUAUCAUACAGAACCGGGAGGCCACUGGCCGGAUUGCCAAGUGGGCCAUAGAACUUGGGCCGCACGGAUUGAAGUAUGUGCCUCGGACGACGGUAAAGUCUCAAGCACUUGUUGAUUUCAUCAAUGAUUGAACAGAGUUGCAAGCACCAGAGGAGAAGCCGGAUCACACAUAUUGGACUAUCCAUUUUGAUGGAUCCAGGCAAUUGGAAGGCUCGGGGGCUGGAGUCGUAUUAACUUCCCCACGAGGUGAUAAGUUUUGUUAUGUUCUCCGCUUAAUGUUCCCUUGUACUAAUAAUGCAGCUGAGUAUGAAGCUUUGCUCCAUGGUCUCCGGAUGGCUAAAGAGAUGAAUCUAAGCCGGGUUAAGUGCUUCGGUGAUUCAGACCUCGUGGCUCAACAGGUGUCUGGCACUUGGGAUUCUAUGGACCCACUUAUGGCUGCAUAUCGUCGCAAGGUGGAUAUGGUUGCAGGUCACUUCAAAGGUUAUCAGGUGGAUCACGUGGACCAUCGAAAAAAUGAAGCGGCGGACGCUUUAAGCCGGUUGGGCUCUCAGCGUAAACCGGUCCCGCCUAAUGUCUUUCUUGAUGUGUUGCACAACCCGUCAGUCAAGCUCCUGGGUGAAGCGGAUUUGGCUAUUCCUGAUCCGGAGGCUCAAUUGGUGGCAGCCCUGCAUAUUAUACCGGAUUGGACAGUUCCUUAUCUUGCGUACAUGAACAGGGGAGAGUUGCCAGAGGAUGAGAUUCUAGCCAGGCAGAUAGUCCGGCGAUCCAAAUCUAUGACCAUUGUGAAUGGCGAAUUGCAUCAUUGCAGUAUAUCAGGGGUGUUUCAACGCUGCGUCUCACCUGAGGAAGGCUGUGAAAUCUUACGUGAAAUCCACGAAGGGGAUUGUGGUCAUCACUCCGGUUCAAAGUCUCUGGUGGCAAAGGCGUUUCGUCACGGGUUCUACUGGUUGACAGUUCAUGCUGAUGCGGAGGACUUGGUUAAACGGUGUGAUGGCUGUCAGAAAUUUUCAAAGCGUGCUCAUGUGCCGGCUCAAGAAUUGAGGAUGAUUCCAAUUACUUGGCCAUUUGCAACAUGGGGGUUGGAUAUGGUCGGGCCUUUUAAAAGAUCCAAGGAUAAGAAAACCCACCUUUUGGUGGCAGUUGACAAGUUUACCAAGUGGGUUGAAGCGGAGCCUGUCAGCAAGUGUGAUGCAGCUACAGCGGUGCAGUUUAUUAAAAAGGUGAUUUUCCGGUUUGGCUUUCCACACAGUAUCAUUACUGACAAUGGUACCAAUUUAUCUAAGGGUGCUAUGAAGGAAUUCUGUGAACGUGAGCACAUCCGACUUGACGUAUCGUCAGUGGCUCACCCCUAGUCCAAUGGGCAGGCAGAACGGGCUAAUCAAGAGAUCUUAAGGGGCAUCAAACCCUGGCUUAUGGUUCCAUUGCAAAGAACACCGGGUUGUUGGGUUGAAGAGCUACUGUCUGUGCUAUGGAGUAUCAAUACUACGCCCAACCGAUCUACAGGAUACACGCCGUUUUUUAUGGUCUACGGAGCGGAGGCGGUUCUCCCUAGUGAUAUCCAGCACGAUUCACCUCGUGUAGCGGCUUAUGUUGAAGCGGACAAUGAGACAGCACGGCAAGACGCUUUGGACCUGUUGGAUGAGGAGCGUGACAUAGCGGCUGCCCGCUCAGCGAUUUAUCAACAAGAUAUUCGUUGCUAUCACAGUCGCCGGGUUAGAACCAGAACUUUUCAAGAAGGAGAUUUGGUGCUUCGGCUCAUCCAAGACCAGACGGAUAUGCACAAGUUAUCCCCACCUUGGGAAGGACCUUUCGUGGUCAGCAAAAAUCUGCACAACGGGUCAUACUAUCUGAUCGAUAUUUGGGAGCAUAAAGACUCACGCAAAUCAGAGGAGGAGACCAACAGGCCGUGGAACAUAGCUCAUCUUCGGCCUUACUACACUUGAGCCAUCGGCUCUUUCUAUGUACAUAUUAUGACAGUGUAUAUAUUAUCUUUGAUAUAAUAAAACCGGAGCCUCAGCUAAAGCGGGGUCUCUGUCCUUUCAUAUCAUGUGUGGUUACAUGGAGUAGUUCUGUUUUAAAGCAGCCUCCGGUUUACCCCUUGAAAUUUGCUUUUUAUAUCACUUGGGGCCUUGGUCAUGUCCGAACCAACGCGACACCUUUUGAUAGGCGAAAGCCACCAGAUCACUUGGGGACAGGGUCAAGUCUGAACCAGUCACGCCUCUUGAUCGGCCUAAGGCCACAAAAUCACUUGGGGGCUUGGUCGAACCCGAACCAUUGCCACGCCUUUUGAUUGGCAUAUAUGCCACGGUUUCAUUUGGGGACCUGGCUGACUUGAGCCAUUGUCACUCCUAUUGGGGGCUUGGUCCUGUCCGACCAUGGUAACACAUUUGAUCGGCUCAGUAUAGCAUGUUUUUUUUGCAAAUGGUUUUUUAUCAUUGCCUUUGCUUCCAUAUUUCUUUUAUGGCUAUUUCUUAAUUUUCGUUGUGUUCCAUUUAAACCAACAACACUUAACUGGUUCAGUUCACGGAUUCGGUUCAUUUUUAAUCCGGCGAAGUAUACCCGGUUUACCUUUCCUGUUAACAUCAUGGAGUAACAAGGGGGCUCAUAAUGACCCAGCACGGUUUACAUGGGAGCUGUUUUCUCCCCUUUUAUGGUAAUGGUUUAUAGAACCUCCACUUCAAGCCUGGCUAAGCCAACUUCAUGCCCAGUGAUGGCAGGUACUUUGUAUCGCUUAAAUUAGUUAUAUGUUUUAAGUACAUUGAUGAUAUAUAUAUCAAGAUCAUAAACCAGCUGGCGGUAUAACUGCCACCGAAGUUCAAGAUUUUCUGAUUGCAGGAAAUAUAAUUUGAGGUUUUUCAAACAAAAGCAUCAGUACUUAUGCACGAAGGCAUAUUCAAGGCAGAAGCAUUAACUAUCCUAUUACAAGGCAACACGGUGCCCAAAUAAGAUCAUUGUUAUUCUGGCGGAUCAUCAUAAGGCAGCUAUUUAAACCGGCUUCCGGUUCAAGCCUGCUCAUCAUCUUGCGUCGCUUCAGAUUCCUCAUCUCUAUCCAUUGGCUGGAAAUCAACAGUGGUCCAGUCGAUUCCCAUUAAAGCUUGAAAGACAGCCUCUUCAUGGAUCAGAGAAGACGGUUCAAUAUCAGGAGCGUAAGUAUGCUUACGGUUUGGAGGAAUCAGAUUCUCCGCUUCAAGAGCUGGUGCAGCCACUCGCUUGUUCUGAUCAUCGUACUGAGCUUGGUAAUGCGACAAGUCUGCCUCUUCAGCUAAUUGACAAGCCAGAGGGCGCACUGCACAGUUUAUCGCCCUCAAAUCCUCUUCAUUGAAUUCUGAGCCAUCUUCCUUCAAGCUAGGAUAGCCUUGAGCUGCUUCAACAGGAUCGAAAUCCGGCACCCAUGCUUUUGGCCGGAUCAAGGCAUUAAUUGCUCCAGUUCGAGCAGCAGAUUUCUUCAGUUCUUCAAUCUGGGCAGGAAGCAUUGACAACCUCUUCAGAGUAUCUUGGAUUAAGGUGGGUGCCGGAUUGUUAUGAGAUGCAGUGGUGAUGAUCCGCUGCGCUCCGGUAUACAGCUGCUCGAUUAAAGUGUAUGCAGCCUUCAACUUCUUCCGAACAUCUGACCCUAAGUGACCAAUGCGUGUACCUGCAACAAUACAGGAGAGGUCACAAACCGGAUCUAUUAUAAGCAGGUCAGAAUUGUCAAAGAAAUCAAAAGGAGCUUACCAAAGAUAGCAGCGGUCAUGGAAUGUACUUGCCGCUUUACGGCAGUCAGUUCAUCUACCACCGGUUUAAGGGUGGCUUCAGCAUUUUUAGCUCUUUUUGUUAAACCGGCCUUCUCAGUGGCCCAAUCAGCCUGCUCCUUUUUGAAGCCCUCCUUCAGCUUUUCUGUGAUGCUCAAGGCGCCGGUUAAUUCUUCCUUUGCCUUAUCGGUUUCAGCCUGUUGGGUUUUCAAAGUUGCCUGCAGAUCAGUAAUUUGGUCCUCUUUGAUCUUCACUUCAGCCUGCAUACAGAUAGUGCUUUCCUUUAAACAAACAGUGCAAGAAUCUGAAGUACCAACCACAUAACAAGUUAUGCGCUUGAUACUUGGGGGCUAAUGCACCUUCAUUUUCAUCUAUUACUAAAUCGCAAAGUCCCAAGCUCAAUACAGGUAUUCAACUUGGCACUUGGGGGCUAAUGGCUAUUUGCUCAGUUUUGUUCUCAUGUUAUAAUCUUUAUUGGAGUCCCGGUUUAACUAUGCUAAGUUGAACCGGCCCUUGGGGGCUACAUUGAUGGAUUUCAAAGUAUUGUGGACAAUAUUCAAGUCCCGGCUUGAAGAAGAUUACAAACCGGCCCUUGGGGGCUAGGAGGAUAAAUACAGUGGCAGUACUUAAAGAAAGAAGAAGCACAAGGAAGUUACCUCAAAUUUAUCUCUCAUCAUCUUUACCAGGCCAGCUUCACAGUCACGACUAGUAUAUAGCCGGUUCAAGUAACCCGAAUGAAGAUCAUGGGCACUCAGAGCAGCAUAUGUUUCCAGCUCAACAUCCCAUUUACCCUUGUUCAGGGCAGAAAAAUCUUCUUUCACAGUAUGCUUGGCUAAAGCGAUAGGAUUCCCUGGUUUAGAGCGACCUACACCGGUAAUCACAAUGUCAUCAUCUUCGGACUCACCGGUUGGCGUUGGCGCGGUCGGAUCGUUGGCAGGUUUUGAAGAACUGCGGGAUUUUUCAAUCCGGAUGGAGCUGGCAGGCGGGUCAACAGGGACUGAAGUAUUGAUAGGCCUUUUCUCAAGGAUAGCAUCAUCUUGCAAGGGAGGAUCGUUGGGAAUAUCCUCAUGAACAAAUGCUUCAAGAUCUGGUGCUCUAUCCUGUUCAGGGGCCACAUCUUCCUCGGCCGCUUUAUCCAGGCGGGCUUUCUUGCUCGGUUUAGGUUUAACCCUGAAAGAGAAACAAAGAAUCAAGGAACAGCAUAAGUUAUGACACAGUAUACCAGAAGCAUAUGUUCAGCUUAACUUACCCAAGGACCGUUUUCAGUGGCGGCAGCUGGGUGGCCGAUGAUUCACCAGAGGAAGAAUGAGAAGUAACCUGAUAAUCGGAGUCAGACGAGUUAAGAGGUUGACGGAAGUAACCCGCUUUAGGAUGUAAAUUAAUAAAAAGGUCGGAGACCUCGGAGCGGCGUUUUCAAACCGGACUGUUUGGUAAACCGGCGGAGGUAACUACCUGGCCGCUGUGCCGGGUUGUGUGGCGAGCUUCGUGUUGCUGAGUCUUCAUAAGAAAUUUGGGAUCCAACUAAGCAAGAGGAUGAGAAAAUUUAACUUUCCAUUUUGUCUGGCGAAAUUUUGGCAAAGGCAAAGGAUCUGAACCGGAAGAGAGAAUAGUUACCUCAGCGAUAUCACCAUUGCUGGCUUCAGCGUCGUCCUGACAAGUAUCAUCAUCAAUAAGGCGUGUAAAAAGUAAGCCUAGUGAAUCGAGUUCUACCUCAAAGUCCGAGUUACCCAAUCAGAUGAAGCAGUGGUUUUCCUCUUUUUAGCAGGCUUGUUCAUGACCUUGGUCUUUGGCCGGGUUGGCCGUUCUGCUUUCUCCGUUUUGUCUUGUGGAAGCUUCUUGCUCCAAAACGGAUUAUCACCCUGGUUAAGCAGUAAUUGAUGUCAAACGGAGAUAGUGGUAAUAGGUUCAAUAAAAGAACAAUCAAAAUCUUACAGCUGGCGGUUUGUUGGUAGCGCAGAAAGGGAGCAGGCCGGUUUGAGCGCAGAGAUACUCCGGUUCGUUCAGCAUUUUCUUCACAGACUCUGUGACUUCAUCAUCGGAGAGCUGGAUUUUAGUGUGUCGGAGUGGGUCAUCGACACUAUCAGUAUACUUGCACAUCAAACCGGAGCGCUGGCUGAGAGGCAGUACGCUCCAUGAUAUCCAACAGCGUGCAAGGUCUAUUCCUGUUAAACCGUUGGCCAUGAAGGCUCGGAGCUUGGAUAGUUGGGGAGCAUAUUUACUUCUCUCCUUGGAACUUAAUCUUUGUGGAAAGGGGUGAGUGUUGCUGAGCCGCUCCGGACGAAAGCCAGGUAAAGGAUUUUCAUUCUCAGGAGAAGUGUCUUUGCAAUAGAACCAUGUUGCAUUCCACUCCUUGGGGUGACUGUGUAGUCUGGCGUGGGGAUAAGUGAUCUCCUUUCUUUUCUGAAUCGCCAUACCGCCCAAUUCAGUAUUGGGGCCAUUAGUGAAUUCUAUGCGGCGGUUUAAGUGGAAGCAGUCUCUAAACAAUUCAACUGAAGGCUCCUCUUGAAGGUAUACCUCAGAGAGCACUUGGAAGUGACAUAGGUUGGUAACAGAAUUGGGGCCAAUAUCUUGCGGACGGAGCUGAAAAUUGGCUAACACAUCCCGGUAAAAUUUAGAACCGGGCGGUUUGAAGCCCCGGGCUAAAUGAUAUGCAAAGAUCACAACCUCUCCCUCUUGAGGUGUGGGAGGACAUUCAUUUCCAGGAACCCUCCAGUGGAUCGUAUCUUUGCUGUCUAAAGCACCAAUCAAGACUAAAUCAUCCAGCUGAGUUUCUGUGACGCGAGAAGGAACCCAGUUGCACCCAUACACUUGUUUGGCCAUGGUAAGAUCUACAAGAAAUAGGUGCUUCCGGUUUAGGAAUAUGUUGGAUAAAAGAAGGUGCCGGUCUGAACAAUGUUAAACCGGAGGCAGUACAUUUAAACCGGAUUUCUAUAAGGUGGCAUCAGAUGGCUAAAGAGUUCUAGCGGUUCAACAAGGGGACUAAUGGUAUAUAUCGGUUUAUUAACUUUUUCUGUAUUAAGUUAAACCGCCUGAUCUAAACAUUGAAAGCAAUCAAAGUUGCGGAUGGCUAAGUAUGCAGAAACAGGUUUCGCAAAGUUUUAUUGCAGCAAUGGAUCUGAAGCAAGUUCAAAAAAACAGAAAAUAUUCAAAAGGAUAAAGACAAAACGGAAGUGAACCAACGAGCAGAUAUGUAGAUGAGAUCUAUGGACUUAAGCGUGAAACUACAGGCGGAUGCUAAAAGGCUACUGCUAAUCAGGGCAGGGGUUCACAGAUUUAUCCAGGAGUCUGGGUACGGGUAUGAACAAACGAUGAACUCGACAAGAACAUGAAACCCUAAGAACAGAUUUAUGUCAAGAGGAACAGAAGGCUUACUGGAAAUGAAGAAGACGCAGGAGGAUACCGCAGUGCUCUGGUGCGUUCAGGUUGAUGCAGCGGCCCAAGACGAUGCAGAGGUCGACGGCGGCGGCGGAGCUCCGAGGCUGGCGAUGCGAGGAAGACGAAGAGAAAGAGAUGAAGAGGAGAAAAGGAAAUGACCCUUCGGUCCUAUUUAUAAGGCAACAGUGUGGGUCAGGCGCGCGAAUCCAGGAGCCGAAAUUUCGGAAGGGGAGCUGAUGACUUGGAUAUCGCAGAUCUAUUGAUAAAAGAAGGCGUCAUAAAUGUUAACUUCAUGAUGACGUCAUGCCGGUUUACAGCAACCAGAGAUGAUGACGACAUGGCGGUUUACCAAUUACCAGAAGAUAUCCAAGACAAAGAUUUUGUGAAGGAUUGACAUGAACCAGUUCAAAUCAAUCUGGGGCCUAAUGUUGGGGAUAUUACCACCGGGCGUGAACCGGCCUACUUGGGCCGGGUUAACUUCAGUAGUAGUAUAAGCAGAUGAAGGCCCAAGGCCUGUAGUCGGUUUAGAACCUGUAGCCGUAAACCGGCUUGAUAUGUAAACUUGUAUUGUAAGUUAGGAAUAGAGAGAUACCAACCGGUAUACGAGUAUGAACCGGUUGGGACUCUAUGGACCGACAGGCAUCACCCGUGUAUAUAAGGGGACGGCCCGGCGUCGGUUCAAGACAAACAACAACAACUUGAGCCUAGGAGAAGCUUGUUUUCUCCCUAGCCAUCGAAACCACAUCAAUUCCAUCACAACUAGACGUAGGCUUUUACCUUCAUCGAAGGGGCCGAACUAGUAUAAACCCUCGUGUCUUUGUGUCCGCUUUAACCCCUUCAAGUUAACCCGUAGCGAUGGCUCCACGACUAAGUCCUUUCACUAGGACAUCUGCCGUGACAAGUCCACGACACACCCAAUGAAAAUAGUUUAUUGGAUCUCGAUCGUAGUGAUACACAUAUUCAUAAUAUUGAUGCCAAAAAAUGCAAAGUUAAUAAACUGCCGUUUGGGUCAUAUCGGUGUAAAGCGCAUGAAGAAACUCCAUAAAGAUGGAUUUUCGGAAUCACUUGGUUAUGAAUCAUUUGAUGCUUGCGAACCGUGCCUUUGGGCGAGAUGACUAAAACUCCGUUCUUCGAAACAAUGGAACGAGCAACAAACUUGUUGGAAAUAAUACAUACUGAUGUAUGCAGACCAAUGAGUAUUAAGGCUCGUGGCGGGUAUCGUUAUUUUCUGACCUUCACAGAUGAUUUGAGCAGAUAUGGGUAUAUCUACUUGAUGAAACAUAAGUCUGAAAUAGUUGAAAGGUUCAAAGAAUUUCAGAGUGAAGUGGAAAAUCAUCGUAACAAGAAAAUAAAGUUUCUGCGAUCUGAUCGUGGAGAUGAAUAUUUGAGUUACGAGUUUGGUCUUCAAUUAAAACAAUGUGGAAUAGUUUCACAAACUCACGCCACCUGGAACACCAUAAUGUAAUGGUGUGUCUGAACGUUGUAAUCGUACUUUACUAGAUAUGGUGCGAUCUAUGAUGUCUCUUAUCGGUUUACCACUAUCGUUUUGGGGUUAUGCAUUAGAGACAGAUGCAUUCACGUUUAAUAGGUCACCAUCUAAAUCCGUUGAAACGACAUCGUAUGAACUAUGGUUUAGUAGUAAACCUAAGAUGUCGUUUCUUAAAGUUUGGAGUUGCGAUGCUUAUAUGAAAAAGGUUUUCAACCUGAUAAGCUCGAACCCAAAUCGGAGAAGUGCGUCUUCAUAGAAUACCCAAAGGAAACUGUUGGGUACAUCUUCUAUCACAAAUCUGAUGGCAAAACAUUCGUUGCUAAGAAUGGAUCCUUUCUAGAGAAGGAGUUUCUCUCGAAAGAAGUGAGCGGGAGGAAAGUAGAGCUUGAUAAGGUAAUUUGUACCUUCUCCCGAAUUGGAAAGUAGUUCAUCACAGAAAUUAGUUCCAGUGACCACUACACCAAUUAGUGAGGAAGCUAAUGAUAUUGAUCAUGAAACUUCAGAUCAAGUUACUACCGAACCUCGUAGGUCAACCAGAAUAAGAUCCGCACCAGAGUGGUACGGUAAUCCUAUUCUGGAAGUCAUGUAACUAGACCAUGAUGAGCCUAUGAACUAUGAGGAAACGAUGAUGAGCCCAGAUUCCGCAAAAUGGCUGGAGGCCAUGAAAUCUGAGAUAGGAUCCAUGUAUGAGAACAAAGUGUGGACUUUGGUGGACUUGCCCGAUGAUCGGCAAGCCAUAUUGUAUAAAUGGAUCUUCAAGAGGAAGACAGAUGCUGAUAGUAGUGUUACUAUCUACAAAGCUCGACUUGUCGCAAAAGGUUUUUGACAAGUUCAAAGUGUUGACUACAAUGAGAUUUUCUCAACUGUAGCGAUGCUUAAGUCUGUCCGAAUCAUGUUAGCAAUUGCCACAUUUUAUGAAAUCUGGUAAAAGGAUAUCAAAACUGCAUUCCUUAAUGGAUUUAUUAAAGAAGAGUUGUAUAUGAUGCAACCAGAAGGUUUUGUCAAUCCUAAAGGUGCUAACAAAGUGUGCAAGCUCCAGCGAUCCAUUUAUGGACUGGUGCAAGCCUCUCGGAGUUGGAAUAUACGCUUUGAUGAGUUGAUCAAAGCAUAUGGUUUUAUACAGAUUUUUUGAGAAGCCUGUAUUUACAAGAAAGUGAGUGGGAGCUCUGUAGCAUUUCUAAUAUUAUAUGUGGAUGACAUAUUGUUGAUUGGAAAUGAUAUAGAAAUUCUGGAUAGCAUGAAAGGAUACUUGAAUAAGAGUUUUUCAAAGUAAGACCUCGGUGAAGCUGCUUACACAUUGGGCAUCAAGAUUUAUAUAGAUAGAUCAAUACGCUUGAUAAGAUUUUUCAAAGAAUACAUACCUUGAUAAAUUUUUGAAAUAGUUCAAAAUGGAACAGUCAAAGAAGGAGUUCUUGCCUGUGUUGGAAGGUGUGAAGUUGAGUAAGACUCAAGACCCGACCAUGGCAGAAAAUAAAAAGAGAAUGAAAAGUCAUUCCCUAUGCCUCAGUCAUAGGUUCUAUAAAGUAUGCUAUGCUGUGAACCAGACAUAUUGUAUACCUUGCUCUAAGUUUGGUAAAGGAAUACAAUUUUGAUCUAAUAGUAGAUCACUGGACAGCGGUCAAGAAUAUCCUUAGUGAGGACUAAGGAGAUGUUUCUCGAUUAUGGAGGUGAUAAAAGAGUUCGUUGUAAAAGUUACAUCAGUGUAAACUUUUACACUGAUCCAGAUGACUCUAAGUCUCAAUUUGGAUACAUAUUGAAAGUGGGAGCAAUUAAGCUAGAGUAGCUCCAUGUAGAGCAUUGAAGACAUAGAAUAUUUGCAAAAUACAUACGGCUCUGAAUAUGAUAGACCCGUUGACUAAGCUUCUCUCACGAGCAAAACAUGAUCACACCUUAGUACUCUUUGGGUGUUAAUCACACAGCAAUGUGAACUAGAUUAUUGACUCUAGUAAACCUUUUGGGUGUUGGUCACAUGACGAUGUGAACUAUGGGUGUUAAUCAUAUAUAGAUAUGAAUAUUGGUGUUAAAUCACAUGGCUAUGUGAACUAGAUUAUUGACUCUAGUGCAAGUGGGAGACUGAAGGAAAUAUGCCCUAGAGGCAAUAAUAAAGUUAUUAUUUAUUUCCUUAUUUCAUGAUAAAUGUUUAUUAUUCAUGCUAGAAUUGUAUUAACCGGAAACAUAAUACAUGUGUGAAUACAUAGACAAACAUAGUGUCACUAGUAUGCCUCUACUUGACUAGCUCAUUAAUCAAAGAUGGUUAAGUUUCCUAACCAUAGACAUGAGUUGUCAUUUGAUUAACGGGAUCACAUCAUUAGAAGAAUGAUGUGAUUGACUUGACCCAUUCCGUUAGCUUAGCACUUGAUCGUUUAAUAUGUUGCUAUUGCUUUCUUCAUGACUUAUACAUGUUCCUGUAACUAUGAGAUUAUGCAACUCCCGUUUACCGGAGGAACACUUUGUGUGCUACCAAACGUCACAACAUAACUGGGUGAUUAUAAAGGAGCUCUACAGGUGUCUCCGAAGGUACAUGUUGGGUUGGCGUAUUUCGAGAUUAGGUUUUGUCACUCUGAUUGUUGGAGAGGUAUCUCUGGGCCCUCUCGGUAAUGCACAUCACUAUAAGCCCUUGCAAGCAAUGUAACUAAUGAGUUAGUUACGUAAUGAUGCAUUACGUAACGAGUAAAGAGACUUGCCGGUAACGAGAUUGAACUAGGUAUUGGAUACCGACGAUCGAAUCUUGGGCAAGUAACAUACCGAUGACAAAGGGAACAACGUAUGUUGUUAUGCGGUUUGACCGAUAAAGAUCUUCGUAGAAUAUGUAGGAGCCAAUGUGAGCAUCCAGGUUCCGCUAUUGGUUAUUGACCGAGAAUAGUUCUAGGUCAUGUCUACAUAGUUCUCGAACCCGUAGGGUCCGCACGCUUAAGGUUUCGAUGAUAGUUAUAUUAUGAGUUUAUGAGUUUUGAUAUACCGAAGGAGUUCGGAGUCCCGGAUGAGAUCAGGGACAUGACGAGGAGUCUCGAAAUGGUCGAGACGUAAAGAUCGAUAUAUUGGACGACUAUAUUCGGACAUCGGAAAGGUUCCGAGUGAUUCGGGUAUUUUUCGGAGUACCGGAGAGUUACGGGAAUACGUAUUGGGCCUUAAUGGGCCAUACGGGAAAGGAGAGAAAGGGCCAAAAGGGUGGCCGCACCCCUCCCCAUGGACUAGUCCGAAUUGGACUAGGGAGGGGGGGAAGCCCCUUCCUUCCUUCUCCUUCUCUCUUCCCUUUCCUUCUCUCCUACUCCUACUACAUGGAAGGGUUCCUAGUUCUACUAGGAAAGGGGAAAUCCUACUCCCGGUGGGAGUAGGACUCCCCUAGGGCGCGCCAUAGAGAGGGCCGGCCCUCCCCCUCCUCCACUCCUUUAUAUACGGGGGCAGGGGGCACCCCAUAGACACACAAGUUGAUCUUUGUGAUCGUUCCUUAGCCGUGUGCGGUGCCCCCCUCCACCAUAUUCCACCUCAGUCAUAUCGUUGCGGUGCUUAGGCGAAGCCCUGCGUCGGUAAAACAUCAUCAUCGUCACCACGCCGUCGUGCUGACGGAACUCAUCCCCGGCACUUUGCUGGAUCAGAGUCCGGGGAUCGUCAUCGAGCUGAACGUGUGCUGAACUCGGAGGUGCCGUACGUUCGGUACUUGGAUCGGUCGGAUCGUGAAGACGUACGACUACAUCAACCGUGUUGUCAUAAUGCUUCCGCUUACGGUCUACGAGGGUACGUGGACAAUACUCUCUCCUCUCGUUGCUAUGCAUCACCAUGAUCUUGCGUGUGCGUAGCAAUUUUUUUGAAAUUACUACGUUCCCCAACAAAUACUCCCAUCAUUCACAACCCCGGUUUCAGCCAAGCAAUUGGUUCAUAAUUUUUAACACGCUUCAGCUUUUUCAACUCUUACGCAAUACAUGAGAGCAAGCCAUGGACAUAGCACUAUAUGUGGUAUAUGGUGGUGGUUGUAGAUACACAAAGGGAGAAGAUAGUCUCACAUCAACUAGGCGUAUCAACGGGCUAUGGAGAUGCCCAUUAAUAGAUAUCAAUGUGAGUGGGUAGGGAUUGCCAUGCAACGGAUGCACUAGAGCUAUAAAUGUAUGAAAGCUCAACAAAAGAAACUAAGUGGGUGUGCAUCCAACUUGCUUGCUCAUGAAGACCUAGGGCAUUUUGAGGAAGCCCGUCAUUGGAAUAUACAAGGCAAGUUCUUAUAAUGAAAAAUUCUCACUAGUAUAUGAAAGUGACGAGAUAGGAGACUCUCUAUCAUGAAGAUCAUGGUGCUAUUUUGAAGCACAAGUGUGGAAAAGAGAUAGUAGCAUUGUCCAUUCUCUCUUUUCUCUCAUUUUUUUAUUUGGUGGGCUNNNNNNNNNNNNNNNNNNNNNNNNNNNNNNNNNNNNNNNNNNNNNNNNNNNNNNNNNNNNNNNNNNNNNNNNNNNNNNNNNNNNNNNNNNNNNNNNNNNNNNNNNNNNNNNNNNNNNNNNNNNNNNNNNNNNNNNNNNNNNNNNNNNNNNNNNNNNNNNNNNNNNNNNNNNNNNNNNNNNNNNNNNNNNNNNNNNNNNNNNNNNNNNNNNNNNNNNNNNNNNNNNNNNNNNNNNNNNNNNNNNNNNNNNNNNNNNNNNNNNNNNNNNNNNNNNNNNNNNNNNNNNNNNNNNNNNNNNNNNNNNNNNNNNNNNNNNNNNNNNNNNNNNNNNNNNNNNNNNNNNNNNNNNNNNNNNNNNNNNNNNNNNNNNNNNNNNNNNNNNNNAGGCGUGACCCGCCUACGUCCCCCGCCCGACCCACCCCAACCUAAACCGCCUCCUACCACCGAAGGCAGUCGUCGCGGGCGAGCGAGCGACGGCGUCAGCAAGAGCGAGGGAGCCCGCGGCGCCGUGACUGGCCGCAAACGGAUCCACCCGUGCCCCGCCGGCCCUGCCUCCCGCAACUGGCCCCAAUCCACUCCUCGCUGCUACCUCUUGAGCACUGCGUUGGAUUUCCCCAAAGAGGAGAGGAUGAUGCAGCAAAGUAGUGUAAGUAUUUCCUCAGUUUUUGAGAACCAAGGUAUCAAUCCAGUAGGAGACCACGCACAAGUCUCUCGUACCUACACAAAAUGAUAGCAACUCGCAACCAACGCUUAGGGGUUGUCAAUCCCUUCACGGUCAUUUACGAGAGUGAGAUCUGAUAGAGAUAAUAUUUUUGGUAUUUUUGAUAGAUAGAUGCAAAGUAAAAACAAAGCAAGUAAAUAAAGUGAUAUAGAUUGAUACGAUGAGAAUAGACCCGGAGGCCAUAGGUUUCACUAGUGGCUUCUCUCAAGAGCAUAGAUAUUCUACGGUGGGUGAACAAAUUACUGUUGAGCAAUUGACAGAAUUGAGCAUAGUUAUGAGUAUAUUUAGGCAAUGAUCAUGUAUAUAGGCAUCACGUCCGAGACAAGUAGAUCAAAAUGAUUCUGCAUCUACUAGUAUUACUCCACUCAUCAACCGCUAUCCAGCAUGCAUCUAGAGUAUUAAGUAAAAACAGAGUAACGCCGUAAGCAAGAUGACAUGAUGUGGAGGGAUAAAUUCAUGCAAUAUGAUAAAAAACCCAUCUUGUUAUCCUCGAUGGCAACAAUACAAUACGUGCCUUGCUGCCCCUUCUGUCACUGGGUAAGGACACCGCAAGAUUGAACCCAAAGCUAAGCACUUCUCCCAUUGCAAGAACUACCAAUCUAGUUGGCCAAACCAAAAAGGAUAAUUCGAAGAGACUUGCAAAGAUAACUCAAUCAUACAUAAAAGAAUUCAGAGAAGAAUCAAAUAUUUUCCAUAGAUAAUACUGGAUCAUAAACCCACAAUUCAUCGGUCUCAACAAACACACCGCAAAAAGAAGAUUACAUCGAAUAGAUCUCCACGAGAGAGGGGGAGAACAUUGUAUUGAGAUCCAAAAAGAGAGAAGAAGCCAUCUAGCUACUAGCUAUGGACCCGAAGGUCUGAAGUAAACUACUCACACUUCAUCGGAGGGGCUACGGUGAUGAUGUAGAAGCCCUCCAUGGUGGAUGCCCCCUCCGGCGGAGCUCCGGAACAGGCCCCAAGAUGGGAUCUCAUGGAUACAGAAGGUUGCGGCGGUGGAAUUAGGUUUUUGGCUCCUGUUCUUAUUGUUCGGGGAUACGUAGGUAUAUAUAGGAGGAAGGAGUACGUCGGUGGAGCUCUGAUGGUCCCACGAGGUAGGGGGGCACGCCCAGGGGGGCGCCCUCCACCCUCGUGACCUCCUCGGGCACUGCUUGGAGUAGGGUCCAAGUCUCCUGGAUCACGUUCGGUUGGAAAAUCAUGACCCCGAAGGUUUCAUUCCGUUUGGACUCCGUUUGAUAUUCUGUUUCUUCGAAAUACUGAAAAAGGCCAAAAAACAACAAUUCUGGGCUGGGCCUCCGGUUAGUAGGUUAGUCCCAAAAGUAAUAUAGAAGUGGAAAAUAAAGCCCAAUAUAGACCAAAACGGUAGAUAAAGUAGCAUGGAGCAAUCAAAAAUUAUAGAUACGCUGGAGACGUAUCAGGCAUCCCCAAGCUUAAUUCCUGCUCGUCCUCGAGUAGGUAAAUGAUAAAAAAGAAUUUUUGAUGCGGAGUGAUACUUUGGCAUGAUUUCAAUGUAAAUCUUCUUAAUUGUGAUAUGAAUAUUCAGAUCCAAAAGAUUCAAGACAAAAGUUCAUACUGACACAAAAAUAAUAAUACUUCAAGCAUACUAAUCAAAGCAAUCAUGUCUUCUCAAAAUAACAUGGCAAAAGAAAGUUCAUCCCUACAAAAUCGUAUAGUUAGGCUAUGCUUCAUUUUCGUCACACAAAGAUGUUCCCAACUUCUAUACCCCGAUGACAAGCCAAGCAAUUGUUUCAUACUUAAAUAAUCUCAAACUUUUUCAACCUUCACGCAAUACAUGAGCGUGAGCCAUGGAUAUAGCACUAUGGGUGGAAUAGAAUAUGAUGGGGAUUGUGUGGAGAAGACAAAAAAAGAGAAAGUCUCACAUUGACAAGGCUAAUCAACGGGCUAUGGAGAUGCCCAUCAAUUGAUGUCAACAUGAGGAGUAGGGAUUGCCAUGCAACGGAUGCACUAGAGCUAUGAAUGCUCAACAAAAGAAAACUAGUGGGUGUGCAUCCAACUCACUUGCUCACGAAGACCUAGGGCAUUUGAGGAAGCCCAUCGUAGGAAUAUACAAGCCAAGUUCUAUAAUGAAAAAUUCCCACUAGUAUAAAAAGACAACUUAUGAGACUCACUACAUGAGGAACAAGGUGCUACUUUGAAGCACAAUAUAUGAGACUCACUACAUGAGAACAAGGUACUACUUUGAAGCACAAGUGUGGAAAAAGAGAUAGUAGCAUUGCCCUUUUUUGGGGGGGGGGUUGGCCUUUCCUUUUUUUAUUUGGGCAAUGCUCUAAUAAUGAUGAUCAUCACACUUCUAUUGAUUACAACACAAGGAUUAUAACUCGAAACUUAGAACAAGAUAUGACUCUAUAUGAAUGCCUCCGGCGGUGUACCGGAAUGGUGCAAUGAAUCAAGAGUGACAUGUAUGGAAAAUAAUGCAUGGUGGCUUUGCCACAAAUACGAUGUCAACUACAAGAUCAUGCAAUGGCAAUAUGACAAAAGUAAUGUAUGUCAUGAUGAUGAUGGUGGAAGUUGCAUGGCAAUAUAUCUCGGAAUGGCUAUGGAAAGGCCAUGAUAGGUAGGUAUGGUGGCUGUUUUGAGGAAAAUAUAAGGAGGUUUAUGUGUGAUAGAGUAUAUCGUAUCACGGGAUUUGGAUGCAUCGGCGAAGUUUGCGCCAACUCUCAAGGUGAGAAAGGGCAAUGCACGGUACCGAAGAGACUAGCAAAGGCGGAAAGGUGAGAGUGCGUAUAAUCCAUGGACUCAACAUUAGUCAAAAGAACUCAUAUACUUAUUGCAAAAAUUUAGAAGUCAUCAAAAAUUCAAGUACUACGCACAUGCUCCUAGGGGGAUAGAUUGGUAGGAAAAGACCAUCACUCGUCCCCGACCGCCACUCAUAAGGAUGCACAAGCCAGGUACACUUCAUGUUUCAAAUUUGUUACACAACUUUAACCAUACGUGCAUGCUCUUCGACACAAGUAUUUCUCAAAUUCAUAAUCACCCAACUAGCACGACUUUGAUAUUAUCACCUCCAUAUAUCAAAACAAUUAUCAAGCAUCAAACUUAUCUUAGUAUUCAAUUCACUCAAAAGAAAGUUUCACAUAUCUUGAACACCAAGUAUAUUAACAUUAAGCAAAUUACCAUGCUAUUAAAGACUCUCAAAAUAAUCUAAGUGAAGCAUGAGAGAUCAAUAGUUUCUUUAAAACAAACCCACCACCAUGCUCUAAAAGAUUUAAGUGAAGUAUUAGAGCAAAAAUUAUUACGCUCAAAAGAUAUAAGUGAAGCACUAUGAGCAAAAAAUUAUCACGCUCAAAAGAUAUAAGUGAAGCACAUAGAGUAUUCUAACAAAUUCCAAUUCAUGUAUGGCUCUCUCAAAAAGAUGUGUAUAGAGAGGAUGAUUGUGGUAGACUAACAAGCAAAGACACAAAUAAUACAAGACACUCCAAGCAAAACACAUAUCAUGUUGGUGAAUAAAAAUAUAGCUCCAAGUAAAUUACCGAUGGAAGUGGACGAAAGAGGGGAUGCCUUCCGGGGCAUCCCCAAGCUUUGACUUUUUGGUGUCCUUGGAUUAUCUUGGGGGUGCCAUGGGCAUCCCCAAGCUUAGGCUCUUGCCACCCCUUGUUCCAUAAUCCAUCAAAAGAAUUCACUCAAAACUUGAAAACUUCACAACACAAAACUCAACAGAAAUCUUGUGAGCUCCGUUAGAGAAAGAAAACAAAAGACUACUUCAAGGUACUAUAAUGAACUCAUUCUUUAUUUAUAUCGGUGUUAAACCUACUGUAUUCCAACUUCUCUAUGGUUUAUAAACUAAUUUACUAGCCAUAGAUUCAUCAAAAUAAGGAAACAACACACGGAAAACAGAAUCUGUCAAAAACAGAACAGUCUGUAGCAAUCUGUAACUAACGCAAACUUCUGGAACUCUAAAAAUUCUACAAAAAUAUGAAGUCCUGGACAAUUUGUUUAUUGAUCAGCAGCAAAAAGAAUCAACGCAAAAGCACGUUCCUGUGAUUUAUCAUAACUAAAUUUGUGCGCGCAAAGUUUCUGUUUUUCAGCAGAAUCAAAUCAACUAUCAUCGUAGGUUAUCCUAUAGGUUCUACUUGGCACAAACACUAAUUAUAACAUAAAACCACAUCCAAACAGAAGGCCGAUGGAUUAUUUAUUCCUAAACAGAAGUAAAAACAAAAAACACAAAAAAAAAUUGGGUUGCCUCCCAACAAGCGCUAUCGUUUAACGCCCCUAGCUAGGCAUAAAAGCAAUGAUAGAUCUAGGUAUUGCCAUCUUUGAUUUUCAUUUUUUUGGCGGAGUCAUGCUUGAAUCCAGGAGGUUCUUUCCGCUUCCCUUCAUAUUCGGAAAUUUUUAGAUCUAAAGAAUCCAACCGCUUAUUAGAAAGAGUAAUCAACAUAUUCAUGUGGUGAAGAUUUCCGCUAACACUUUUAAGAGGCUCAAGAGAUUUUUGUAAAAAUUUUGUUACUUCGCAAAUCUUCUCAAACACUUGGGUUUCUUCCUGGGUAGGAUGAGAUCCUCCCUUUUGGGGUAGUGUUCCCACUAUUCCCUCUAUAAUUUCAUGCGCAAUACUAGGAUCAAUCUCAAUGAAAUUUUCCUUGGCAAUGCAAUCCAAGAGUUGUCUAUGUGUCACGUUUAACCCAACAUAAAAAUUGCGAAGAAGAAUUCUAAAGUUCACCUCUAGGGUGCACUUACGAUAAGAUUCCAUCAUCCUAUACCAAGCAUCUUUUAAGUUUUCUCCUUGCCUUUGCUUGAAGUGAAGAACUUCAAACUCAGGAGACAUAGGAGCGGAUAAGGAAUUGGACAUAGAGAUAAGCAAACUAACACACGAGCAAGCAGAAAAGCAAAGGGAAAAAGGCAAACGGGAAAGAGCGGAGGAGAUUGGUAAAGAGAGGGCAAAUAAAAUGGCAAGGGUGAACUGGGGGAGAGGAAAACGAGAGGCAAAUGGCAAAUGAUGUAAUGCGAGAGAUAGGGAUUGCGAUGGGUACUUGGUAUGGUUGACUUGCUUGCGUGAGCCUCCCCGGCAACGGCGCCAGAAAUUCUUCUUGCUACCUCUUGAGCACUGCGUUGGAUUUCCCCGAAGAGGAGAGGAUGAUGCAGCAAAGUAGCGUAAGUAUUUCCCUCAGUUUUUGAGAACCAAGGUAUCAAUCCAGUAGGAGACCACGCACAAGUCCCUCGUACCUACACAAAACGAUAGCAACUCGCAACCAACGCUUAGGGGUUGUCAAUCCCUUCACGGUCACCUACGAGAGUGAGAUCUGAUAGAGAUAAUAUUUUUGGUAUUUUGAUAGAUAGAUGCAAAGUAAAAAAGUAAAAGGCAAAGUAAAAACAAAGCAAGUAAAUAAAGUGAUAUAGAUUGAUAUGAUGAGAAUAGACCCGGGGGCCAUAGGUUUCACUAGUGGCUUCUCUCAAGAGCAUAGAUAUUCUACGGUGGGUGAACAAAUUACUGUUGAGCAAUUGACGGAAUUGAGCAUAGUUAUGAGUAUAUCUAGGCAAUGAUCAUGCAUAUAGGCAUCACGUCCAAAACAAGUAGAUCGAAACGAUUCUGCAUCUACUACUAUUACUCCACUCAUCGACCGCUAUCCAGCAUGCACCUAGAGUAUUAACUAAAAACAGAGUAACGCCGUAAGCAAGAUGACAUGAUGUAGAGGGAUAAAUUCAUGCAAUAUGAUAAAAAAACCAUCUUGUUACCCUCGAUGGCAACAAUACAAUACGUCCCUUGCUGCCCCUUCUGUCACUGGGUAAGGACACCGCAAGAUUGAACCUAAAGCUAAGCACUUCUCCCAUUGCAAGAACUACCAAUCUAGUUGGCCAAACCAAAAAGAUAAUUCAAAGAGACUUGCAAAGAUAACUCAAUCAUACAUAAAAGAAUUCAGAGAAGAAUCAAAUAUUUUCCAUAGAUAAUACUGGAUCAUAAACCCACAAUUCAUCGGUCUCAACAAACACACCGCAAAAAGAAGAUUACAUCGAAUAGAUCUCCACGAGAGAGGGGGAGAACAUUGUAUUGAGAUCCAAAAAGAGAGAAGAAGCCAUCUAGCUACUAGCUAUGGACCCGAAGGUCUGAAGUAAACUACUCACACUUCAUCGGAGGGGCUAUGGUGAUGAUGUAGAAGCCCUCCGUAGUGGAUGCCCCCUCCGGCGGAGCUCCGGAAUAGGCCCCAAGAUGGGAUCUCGUGGAUACAGAAGGUUGCGAUGGUGGAAUUAGGUUUUUGGCUCCUGUUCUGAUCGUUCGGGGAUACGUAGGUAUAUAUAGGAGGAAGGAGUACGUCGGUGGAGCUCCGAGGGGCCCACGAGGUAGGGGGGCGCGCCCAGGGGGGCGCCCUCCACCCUCGUGACCUCCUCGCGCACUGCUUGGAGUAGGGUCCAAGUCUCCUGGAUCACGUUCGGUUGGAAAAUCACGACCUCGAAGGUUUCAUUCCGUUUGGACUCUGUUUGAUAUUCUGUUUCUUCGAAAUACUGAAAAAGGCAAAAAACAGCAAUUCUGGGCUGGGCCUCCGGUUAGUAGGUUAGUCCCAAAAGUAAUAUAAAAGUAGUCCUCCAUCCCUCGGACGUAGAUAGAGUAGAUAAAGUAGAUAAAGUAGCAUGGAGCAAUCAAAAAUUAUAGAUACGUUGGAGACGUAUCACUCGCCUCCAUCCCUCGGACCGGCCGCCAACUUCCUCCCUUGCGUCGGCCGUCAAGUCCCUCCUGCGCACCACCGCCAUCCUCCGCACCGGUCUCCGCCUCCCUCCCGCGUGCCUGCCGCCGUCUCCUUCACGUGCGCCACCACCAUGCGCCACGCCGGUCGUCGCCUCCCUCCCACGCAUCGGCUGCCGCCUUCCUCCCACGUGUCGUCCGCCGCCUUUCUCCCCGCGCCGCCCGUCUCCCUUCCCCCGCAACACCCAUAUCCCUCUGACGACACCGACUAGUCCGCCCUGGUGUAUCCAGGGCGAGCACCCUCCCCGAGCUACUCCAGGCGUAGAUCUUGCCAUGAGUGCUCCCCGCGCACGGAUCUGGCCGGGCUCUGGCGAGCAUAGCCUGGUACAACCUGGACUCCGAUGCUGCUCCUCUCCCUGCACCCCGAUGCACCGAUGUUACCCCAGGCAUGGGAGCCAUCCCAGGGCCGAAAGAGGCUCGAGCUUCCUGUAGUUCUAGUAGAUAAGCUUGUCCGGUACAUCCAGCCAGGUAAGCACAUCCAGUCGCUGCACAGUUCGAGGAUAGCAAAGUUGUGGCACCAAGUCGAACUUGCCGCUGCACCAUCUUCACCAAGUCGAACUUGCUAGAACUUGCUGUUGCUCAACUUGAUCUCUCAGGUAGCUCAUCCAGCAAGACUGCUGAAAUGGUAUGACUUCUUUGCAAAAAAAAUCAGAUCUAGUAGUUUGUCUCAGAGUCAUUUCUUCUGUAUAGUACUGCACCUUGUGCUCCCUUCAUCCCUUGCAUGUUUAGAUGAGAUUUUUCUGUGCAAUUAGACUUGGGCUAUGGCCCAAAAAAAUUGGUGAUCUUUGUUUUGAAUUGCCGGGCAUGCAACUCCUGAUUUUUAAUUGCCCAACUGAUAAGGGAGCCGCUGUGCAUUACUAUUGAAACACAAGGUUUUUGCAUUUUCUCAAGAAAAUAGUAGUAGUCUGAACCAUGGACAAUGUUGAUUCUGCAUAUAGGUAAUGGAGAUACUGAAUCUAAACCAUAAAUUUAUAAAAAUAGGUUAGCUUCAUAGCAGCAUGCUCGCUUAUCUAUUGGCAUUCGCAUGUACCAUCAGACCAAUCGAUCAACAGCAUAAAGAUCAUCAUCAGCUGUCCAAGUCGAGCUUUGGCUGCAGUCCAAGUCGAAAUGGAACCAAUAUCUUCACCAAGCGCUGCACCCAUUGAUCAUCCACACAGUGAGAAAGCCAUCUCAUUUUUCUUUGAACAUUUGCUUUUGUGAUGCGUGCUCACUGAUGGAUUCCCUGCAGCGGCCAAAUCCCGGCGCCGCUCGUGAUCUCCGCCUCCAUCAGCUCCACUUCACCAAAGCUAUCAGUCCAAAUGAGGAGGUGUAGCCGGUCCACCCAAUCUCCAACGUCGUAUUCUACCUCCAAAAAAUUUCUUUUUCAGUUCAAUUCUUCGUCACAGGUUCACUGCUAUCACCCGUUUUUGUGAAUCUCUAUUGAAAAUUAGCUCAUGUUUUAGUGAAUGAGAAGCAGUUUGUACUUUUAGCUUGAUGCGUGUUCAUGAGUAGUUUAAAAAGUGUGCUUGUUUCCUGCUUUGCUAUAACACUUGUUAAAUUGCUAUCCAAAAAAUGUCAUGUAUUCAUGGAUUUGCUGAUGGUGUAGCGGCCCAGCAUGUAUUUUAUCAUCAGUUCGUAAAAGGAAAGUUGAAUCAGUGCAACAUGCGUGUUAAAAAUUCAGUUUUAUAUUGUACGGUAGUUCAUUGUAUAGAAAAUUUGCAAUAGUUCCUGCUUUUCAGUUCAUCUACUUCCCCUUCGCAAGUCUAAUUAGUAGAAAUUCAAAUAUGAAGAAUAGCAUCCAUUUUGUUAUAUUCAUCAUAUUCAACCAAUUUUGUAUGUACAGACUUGCAUAUGUUGAUUAGUACGGUAGAUCUCUGUUGCACAGUCGAGAUGUGUUUAGUCCAACCCCAUGGCAUUAGGGAGGUCGAGUUCGUCGCGAGCAACAGUACAUGGUUGUUGGCUUACUCCAGCAGCCAGCCCAGCCUUCCCUCCCAGUCAUCAGUCCAACUUCUUGCUCCGAUGCCGGUCACUCAAAGAGCCGCGUGCAGGCCACACGUGUUUCACCUCCUGAUCCAGAUCAACUUUCUCCAUUCUUCAGCAUUUUUGGUAUGAAUUUGAUGGAUCUUCUUGAUACUCUGUUCUUACUCAUUUAGAGCUAGUUUUGUUCCUGCAUAUAUGUAUCACUUAGUUUUUAGAUGGCUUAAUUUAGAGAGCUUCCAACUCUGAAACUUGCCAUGCAUAUUUGGGGAUGGAAUGUAAAAUGGAUGAUCCUAUGCUGGAUUGAUGUGCAGGUUCUUUGUGUACUUAAUUUUGACAGAAUUAUUGUAGUACUCUGUAGUGGUAUUAAAUUGGGAACCUAUGGUGCUUCAGUUAGAAGAUCGUUGAUGCUAGCUUCUUCGAGUUUGUCUGCUAUUUCAACUUUUGUUUUAACCUACAUCUUUUUUUGUUUACAGAUUGUCGCAUGAUACUUGUAUUGGGUGCUAGAGUUCAUGUAUUACUGCCAGGUCAGUUCAAAAAAUAAACCGUAGCUAGUUCAAAUAUAAACUCCCAUGAUGAUUUUGGUCAAGAUUCCAGUGUGGUUCACCCUUGAAGGCGUGAUGCAGGAACUCAGUACUACUUCUUAUAGCGUUUUUAUUUGUUGCCAGGAAAAAGUCAAGAUCUUCGCACAACAGAGAUCUAGAUGUUUGGAAUCGCGAGAACCGUAAGUUCAAAAAAUUGAAAAACAUUUAAAUAAAUUCCUCCUAUAGUAUAUUAUUACCUCUGUUCGCAAAUUGAUGACGUGGUUUCAGUUCAGUACAUCAUAACUAAAAUUCUUUUCAGAAACUCAAUUCUCGUGUGUAUAUGUUGUGGAUUGUUCAAGCUCUUCCAUUCGCUCUAUUCUAUGGUUGGCACACUAGUCUGCAACUCUACAAUUGAUUUUUUCCCAUUGUCGUGCCUUCUAGGUGUUUGUUUAAAAUGCAUAAGCGGUUUGUUAUGAGUCCAUGGCAGUCAUGCAGCCUGGGAUUGGGAUAUACAAGAUGGAAGCUACUACUAUUGCUAGCUUUGGAGUUCACAUGCUACAGCACAUGGAUCCAUGGACAAAGAGUUAAUAUGAGAGAGAGAUGGGUUUGUUUCAGUUUGAACAUUUGCUACCCUAGUCUUUUGUUUGUUGCAAAAAUGUCUAAGUCGUACUUCUCAUUAUUGCAUGAAUUUUUUCUAUACCAUCUUCUUUAUUUCUAAAUGUCAGUCACUUUUUUUGCCGUCAGGUCUUUGCUUAAAUGCCUAAACAAAGAUCAAUUUUAGUUCAGAUCAAAAUCUAGUUUUAGUUCAGUGCAAAUCUUAUUUUAAGUUCAGUACAAUUUGUUAUUUUAGUGUGAGCAAUCCUUCAAAUGUCUUGCCUUAUAUUACUGCUGUGUCAGUACACAGAACAAAAAAAUUACAUCAAAUUGACAAUGUUUAAUCUCUUCUAUGUUAGUAUAGGCUACAUGUAUACAACAUUUAAUCUAUAGUCGUAGUAGCAGUAUUGCUAUGUAAGGGAGCAGCCGAACUCCAUUAACUUGUGGAAUAUCACUUUGGAUACAUGAGUGCAGGAUUAAUACAUUAUUGAUUAUUGCAGGUAGGUCAGACCUUAGAAGCCACUUGCAGCCGCACUUGUCGGCACCCACGACGCGCCACCCCACCGCCCCCAAGGCGCGCCGUCCCGCGGUCCGCUGGGCGCGGCGUCCUCCCGAGUCCGCCUUGCAUAGCUGCUCCUGCUCUGCCUUCCAGGUGAUCAAUGUGUCUGCCUCCGCGCGCCGCGUGGAUGAGCGUGUUAUGGAACUGAACGAUCUACCCAAUCUGAACAGUAGGGAAGGUGCAUCAUGUACACUAUGGUGCAUCAAAUUCCGCAUCAAUCUGAAUAGUACGAAGCGUUUUAUGUCAUUCACGUAUGAAAAUGUGCGGUCUGUGCAGUGUAUAUGUCAUUCUUGUACAUGUAUUAUAUGUGGAAAAUUUUCUGUCUGAUGAUAUAAUUGCUACUUCUUGAAAGAAGGUAUACAUGACAGUUUGAUGUGCGUGCAAGAAUGAACAAAAUGGUUUGAAUUUAAAACAUUGUCAGUACAAAUUAAAAACAAUGAUCAGUUUG